UAACGCGUGGGUAACCUGCCCUGUACAGGGGGAUAACAGCUGGAAACGGCUGCUAAUACCGCAUAAGCGCACGAGGAGACAUCUCCUUGUGUGAAAAACUCCGGUGGUACAGGAUGGGCCCGCGUCUGAUUAGCUGGUUGGCAGGGUAACGGCCUACCAAGGCAACGAUCAGUAGCCGGUCUGAGAGGAUGAACGGCCACAUUGGAACUGAGACACGGUCCAAACUCCUACGGGAGGCAGCAUGC
rnacentral:rRNA from 1 species